CCAGCAGCCGCGGUAAUUCCAGCUCCAGAAGCGUAUACUAACGUUGUUGCAGUUAAAAAGCUCGUAGUUGAAUUUUAUGAUUUGAGUUGGUUUAUCUUUUAAUAAGAUGACUAAUUUCGAAGAAUUUUUAGACUAUAAUUUAUAGUCUUCUUUCACUGUAAAAAAAUUAGAGUGUUUCAAGCAAAAUGUAUAAGAUUUGGAAUAUAAUAGUAUGGAAUGAUAAGAUAGGACUCUUUUACUAUUUUGUUGGUUUGUAUAAGAGAGUAAUGAUUAAUAGGGACAAUUGGGGGUAUUCGUAUUCAGAUGUCAGAGGUGAAAUUCUUGGAUUUUCGGAAGACGAACAACUGCGAAGGCAUUUACCAAGGAUGUUUUCAUUAAUCAAGAACGAAA
rnacentral:rRNA from 1 species